rnacentral:rRNA from 1 species
UACGGAGGGAGCUAGCGUUGUUCGGAAUUACUGGGCGUAAAGUGUGCGCAGGCGGCCGAGCAAGUCGAGUGUGAAAGCCCCGGGCUUAACUUGGGAAUUGCGCUCGAAACUACUUGGCUGGAGUGUGGCAGAGGAAGGUGGAAUUCCAGGUGUAGCGGUGAAAUGCGUAGAGAUCUGGAGGAACACCGAUGGCGAAGGCAGCCUUCUGGGCCAACACUGACGCUCAUGCACGAAAGCGUGGGGAGCAAACAGG